UCUGGAACUGUGAGAUCAUAACCUGAGCUGAAGUCGGAUGCUUAUCCAACUGAGCCACCCCGGCACCCUUAGCAUGGCGCUGUCUGGGAGGGAGCAGAAAACAAAGAGAAGACGGAGCUCUAUUUCACAAUGGGCCUGAGCUCAAUUCUGCUCUGCGGCUGUAGGUCUCUGUUUGGCACCAGACUGAAUGGGAUUCUGAGUGUUCAUGACUCUCAAAAUGAAAUAUGACCAAAGAGUCCCAAAUUCCUAUGAUAAGAUGAUAUAUACUGUUAUUAUUAUUCAAAAAUAAUAAUGAUAAUGCAGUAAAAGAGGAAUUAAAAGAGAAAUGGCCCCCCUUGGAAGAUGAUUACUUGGUGCCUGGAGAAGUAGAGGCUGAAGCAGCCCUGUCUGGCCCUCCUCCCUUCCAGGAAAAGAAGACGGUCCUUAAGCCUGACAACAGAAUCAUGGUUUGGACUCCAGGAGUCCAGAUUGGCUAUAAACUGGCAUGGUCCAGAAUCCCAGGCAUGUAGCAUCUCCUCACAGGACCUUGUUUGCUACUCCGAAAUUCUUGGACUGAAUGUGGGUUUCUGGAAACCAAGUAAUGUAAAUAGCCCUUCGGUAGGAAGAGGCAAAACCUGCAGGCUGUUCUCCCUGGGUCAAGUGCAGAGAGGCCAGGUCUCAUCAAUUCUUGGCACUCAAAGGCCCACUGAUGUGCUUUAGGAGCACACCCCACAGGUCAGAAGCUCUGGAGUUCCCUGCUGAGUCAUGAAGUCCUUUGGGACCAUCCCUUCUUCUUCACGGCUGCCAGUCACCUCCUCCCAGAACACCUUAUUGUGAAGAGGGUCCAUUGGGAAGGUCUCUUCUUGCUGUUGUCCUCUAGCGGCUGGACAAGAUGGGGAUGGCCUCCUGGAGCUAAGACAAAGGGAGACACUCCAACUGCUCAGGAUGUGGGAGGCAACUGAAUGGGGUGCGGGAGUUCCUCCCAGAUCCCUAGACCCUGUGAAGAGCAUAUGGAUUAGAAGAUGCACAACUUGAAUCUAAAGGAUUUUUUUGAACAGUCUUCUGGAUGUUGAGUCUGUGUCUGGUGAGCUAAAAUAAACCAUGCUACCUA